rfam:Stomoxys calcitrans breed 8C7A2A5H3J4 unplaced genomic scaffold Scaffold359, whole genome shotgun sequence.
CCGUUCUUGUGUUAUUUGUUGAUUGUCCUCUUAAAAAUCAAUGAUUGUCAAAAAGAACGCAUAUUAAUUUAGGCAACAACUCGUUAUUGUCUGCACUAAUCUAGGAAAGUGUAGACAUAUUCCAUUUGUUGUUUACAAUU